rnacentral:rRNA from 4 species
AAAAAAUAGUUGUUGAGUAGUAAUUGUUAUGUUCAUGAAACUCAAAGAAUUUGGCGGUAUUUUAGUCUAAUCAGAGGAAUUUGUCCUAUAAUCGAUGAUUCACGUUUAACCUUACUUAAUUUUGUCAAUCAGUUUGUAUAUCGCCGUCAUCAGAUUAUCUUAUCAAAGAAUUAAUUUUCUAAAUUUUAAAUAAAGAGGUAUGUCAGGUCAAGGUGCAGUUUAUAAUUAAGAAAGAGAUGAAUUACAAUAAAGUUAUUUAUAUGGAAAUUAAGUUGAAAUUUAUUUAAUUGAAGGUGGAUUUGAAAGUAAAUAUUUAAAUUUUAUAAUAUUGAUUUUAGCUCUAAAAUAUG